rnacentral:rRNA from 1 species
AUUGAGAGUUUGAUCCUGGCUCAGGACGAACGCUGGCGGCGUGCUUAACACAUGCAAGUCGAGCGAUGAAGCUCCUUCGGGAGUGGAUUAGCGGCGGACGGGUGAGUAACACGUGGGUAACCUGCCUCAUAGAGGGGAAUAGCCUUUCGAAAGGAAGAUUAAUACCGCAUAAGAUUGUAGUACCGCAUGGUACAGCAAUUAAAGGAGU